CACCCCCGCGUUUACCUAGUAACAUUCCCGCACCCAAUUAACGGAGCGAGGACGCUAAAACCCAGCACCCCGCCAAGAGGCUACAGCUAAAACCUCUCCCCGACAAAAUAAAUCGCAGUAACAGAAACAAAUCCGCUGGACGGUGGGAAGCCGCCCCUCGCCCUUUCCCUCACCUCAGAGAGAAAGGCACAAGGCUGGGUCUUCCAACCUUCGUUUUCUGGACAUCCCUGAAACUUGUUUCCCUACAAGAAACCCACUCGCGAACCACAGCAGAGUCGAACUGACGGACAAACGGUGUGAUGGGUUUUAUGUAAUCCACACAGUAAUCGCCUGGCUCGCUCUGAAUGUUAAUACGAUUGGGAUGGCAACUGGCCCACCCCCCGCACCCCAGCCCCCGUUAACCUCCGCGCCCCGCUCCCCUGCUGGUCUCCUCGGAGGAUGCUGCUCCCCUCGGCCAAGUUUCCCGGCCUCGACCGCGGGCCCUGCCAGCCCGGCGGGCACGUCGUCGUCCUCCGUCAGCCUCGACUUCCCCGGCCGGAGACGCCUCCCCACGCCGGCCCGGCCCGCCUCGCCCGCCCAACCGCCCCCCGCAGCAGGAAGACCCUUACCGCGGUCCAAACUCACUCCCGCCGCGCUCCUCGGACCCUUGCCUCACAACAGUUGUCACUCGAGCUGCUCCCUAGUUUCCAUUUCCGGGCCGUCCGCAGCCCAGAGCCUCCCUUUCCCUGUUUCCGGGCCCCCCGUCCCAUUUCCGGGGAACCCUUGCCGUCUUCACGCCCCCCACCUGCACUUCCGGCCCCCCACUUUCUCUCUUCCUAGACGCCCUCCAGGUUCCAAAGACCACUUCCGGUCCCCUCCCGGCCCCCGCUGGGCUCCCCCAGACCCGCACGCCCUACCCAGGUUCCGCCUCGGGCCUUCCUCAUCGCAGGAGGCCUGAGCGGGGACCCAGCGCACCCCCCCCACCCCAGCCGGGCGGCCCCGGCUCCUCAGGCCGCGGGGCUCGCUCGAGCGCCUCACCCGCCAGCCUCGGGCUGCUCCCUCCGCGGCCCCGCCGCCGCCGGCGAGUCGAGCCGAGAGCCGCGUCGCCAGCGAUGACACGGGCGGGCUGCUCGGGACUUUCGGCUCAGGCGUCCCAGCCCUGCUCAGCCCCCUCCGCCAAGGCCCAGCCCCGCCGCUAAGAACGGCGCCCCAAUUACCUAGUUAGGCCCCAAAGUCUCCGGUCCGGACUCGGUGGCGCGACGGCAACUUCCACUGGCUCCCCCCACCCCCCCCGGCGGCGGCGGCGGCGGCGGCGGCUGGUCGUCCCUUCAAUUAUCAGCUGAGCCGCAGCACCGCGCGGCCGUGCGCCUCCGCCCGCGCCGCCUCCCUCCCCGCCUGCUCCACUCCAGCCGGGGACUACUUUGCCCUAAGGCUCCGGCCUGCGGGAUCUUCCGCAGGACCAGCCCCGCUACCUAUUCACAGCCCAGCACAUCGCCCCUCCCUCCCCAGCGCUCUGACCCCGGCCGGCGAGCCGCCUCCAGUCUCCUUCCGAUCCCUUCAAGGGACCAGGAAGGGGACUGUGGCGCUCGGCUUGGUAUCCCUCCGCUGGGGUCACCCCCGCCCCUCCGCGCCAGCAGGAACUCAAUUCCACUUGGGGUCACCCAGGACCUGAUUGUGGAGAUUUCACAAAGCAGCCUGCCCUGUGGCCCCCGAUCAUCUUUAGAUGGUGGAAGAUUUCUCUGAGAAGUGAGUUUCGGUCAGCGAAACCUGGA